UACGAAGGGGGCUAGCGUUGUUCGGAAUUACUGGGCGUAAAGGGCGCGCAGGCGGCCCUCCAAGUCAGGCGUGAAAGCCCCGGGCUCAACCCGGGAAUAGCGCUUGAGACUGGGGGGCUUGAGUUCGGGAGAGGAGAGUGGAAUUCCCAGUGUAGAGGUGAAAUUCGUAGAUAUUGGGAAGAACACCGGUGGCGAAGGCGGGUCUCUGGGCCGAUACUGACGCUGGGGAGCGAAAGCGUGGGGAGCGAACAGG
rnacentral:rRNA from 1 species